rnacentral:rRNA from 1 species
AGAGUUUGAUCAUGGCUACGAGAACGAACGCUGGCGGCAGGCUUAAUACAUGCAAGUCGAGGGGCAGCACGAAUAGCAAUAUUUGGUGGCGACCGGCGCACGGGUGCGUAACACGUAUACAACCUACCUAUAACAGGGGGAUAGCCUUUCGAAAGAGAGAUUAAUACCCCGUAAUAAAUUGAGUGGCAUCACUUGAUUUUGAAAGCUACGGCGGUUAUAGAUGGGUAUGCGUCCUAUUAGCUAGUUGGUGAGGUAACGGCUCACCAAGGCGACGAUAGGUAGGGGAUCUGAGAGGACUAACCCCCCACACUGGUACUGAGACACGGACCAGACUCCUACGGGAGGCAGCAGUAAGGAAUAUUGGUCAAUGGAGGCAACUCUGAACCAGCCAUGCCGCGUGCAGGAUGACGGCCCUAUGGGUUGUAAACUGCUUUUGUACCAGAGAAAACCUACUCACGUGUGAGUAGCUGAUAGUAUGGUAAGAAUAAGCAUCGGCUAACUUCGUG